rnacentral:rRNA from 1 species
UACGGAGGGAGCUAGCGUUAUUCGGAAUUACUGGGCGUAAAGCGCACGUAGGCGGCUUUGUAAGUAAGAGGUGAAAGCCCAGAGCUCAACUCUGGAAUUGCCUUUUAGACUGCAUCGCUUGAAUCAUGGAGAGGUCAGUGGAAUUCCGAGUGUAGAGGUGAAAUUCGUAGAUAUUCGGAAGAACACCAGUGGCGAAGGCGACUUACUGGACACAUACUGACGCUGAGGUGCGAAAGCGUGGGGAGCAAACAGG